rnacentral:rRNA from 1 species
CCUACGGGGGGCAGCAGUGAGGAAUAUUGGUCAAUGGACGAGAGUCUGAACCAGCCAAGUAGCGUGAAGGAUGACUGCCCUAUGGGUUGUAAACUUCUUUUAUAAAGGAAUAAAACGAGGCACGUGUGCCUUUUUGCAUGUACUUUAUGAAUAAGGAUCGGCUAACUCCGUGCCAGCAGCCGCGGUAAUACGGAGGAUCCGAGCGUUAUCCGGAUUUAUUGGGUUUAAAGGGAGCGUAGAUGGGUUGUUAAGUCAGUUGUGAAAUUUUGCGGCUCAACCGUAAAAUUGCAAUUGAUACUGGCAGUCUUGAGUACAGUUGAGGUAGGCGGAAUUCGUGGUGUAGCGGUGAAAUGCUUAGAUAUCACGAAGAACCCCGAUUGCGAAGGCAGCUUACUAAACUGUGACUGACAUUGAUGCUCGAAAGUGUGGGUAUCAAACAGGAUUAGAUACCCGUGUAGUC